AUCGCUUCUCAGCCUUUUGGCUAAGAUCAAGUGUAGUAUCUGUUCUUAUCAGUCUACUCGGUCAAACGCCUUCUCCUGGUCUAAACUCACCAGCGCCAGAGGGACAUUCC
ensembl:snRNA U2 U2 spliceosomal RNA